rnacentral:rRNA from 1 species
UACGGGGGCAAGCGUUGUUCGGAAUUACUGGGCGUAAAGGGCUCGUAGGCGGCCAACUAAGUCGGAUGUGAAAUCCCCAGGCUUAACCUGGGAACUGCAUCCGAUACUGGAUGGCUUGAAUCCGGGAGAGGGAUGCGGAAUUCCAGGUGUAGCGGUGAAAUGCGUAGAUAUCUGGAGGAACACCGGUGGCGAAGGCGGUUCUCUGGGCAUUACCUGACGCUGAGGAGCGAAAGUGUGGGGAGCGAACAGG